CUGGCUCAGGACGAACGCUGGCGGCGUGCCUAAUACAUGCAAGUCGAGCGGACAGAUGGGAGCUUGCUCCCUGAUGUUAGCGGCGGACGGGUGAGUAACAC
rnacentral:rRNA from 1 species